UACGUAGGGGGCAAGCGUUGUCCGGAAUCAUUGGGCGUAAAGAGCGUGUAGGCGGUUCGGUAAGUCUGCUGUGAAAGUCCAGGGCUCAACCCUGGAAAGCCGGUGGAUACUGUCGGACUAGAGUGCGGAAGAGGCGAGUGGAAUUCCCGGUGUAGCGGUGAAAUGCGCAGAUAUCGGGAGGAACACCAAUUGCGAGGGCAGCUCGCUGGGACGUGACUGACGCUGAGACGCGAAAGCGUGGGGAGCAAACAGG
rnacentral:rRNA from 1 species